GAUGAUGUCUCGGUGUCUAAAGAGCUAGACGAUGAGGAUGACAAGUAACCUUCUUCAUCUUCUUCAAAGAUUGUCUCUAGGUAUGCUGGUAAUGGAUGAUGAUUAAGGUAGUCCACUUCAAUUGGAGUUACUCGACAAUUGGGAUUUUGUGGAUUGUUUGAUCCUGAGUUUUGCCAUUAGUAAGCAAGUUUGUUGCUUCUGGAUGGACAAACUCUGUUGAACUAUCACUUUCAUCAGCUGAUACGUUAACGGUAACAUGGGAAUCAUUUGGUUGUUUCGCAUUUUCAAUGUCACUCUCAUCACUUAAAUAAACAACUUGAGCAUAAAGUGGACAUAAAUGAGUAUCAUUUGGUGUUACAGGUAAAUAGACAUGUGAAUUACUAUGGCUAAUAUUAUUUUUACCAUUAAGGUUAUUGUCGUUUUGAAGAUGCUGGUGAUUUACACUGUGACAAAGGAGAGAGUUAUUAUGUAGUUCAUACAAUGAUUUUGAUCCCAACAUGGUAACAAGUGUACUUUGAACAAACUUCAGGGUCAGGCCAUAUUGACACAGCUAAAUGAUGUAAGGAUGUCUUUUUGGAAGCUGAUUUUUUUGCAAGCAACAAAAUGGAAACAAAGAUGUUACACAGAGACAGGGAAAAGUGAAUGAACGACCAAGAAAAGAAAGACUCAAGGAGAGAAAAUACUUGGAGAUGUGAAUCUAAAUUAAGAUUCAGUUAAAAGAGAAAAGAAAGAGCCAGAAGAAAGGAAACUGAUGAGGACAGCAAAAAGAUGAGACAAAGACACAAGGGUGAAAGACUGAAGACAAGGAUUGGUGAUGAUAAUCGUGAAUGAAAAUUAUGAACGAUAGCUUGAUGGUGAUUAUGAGGGAAGGAGAGAAGGCGAUAAGCAGAUAGAGAAGAUCAAGAGAAGUGGAAGAAAAGGCGUGAAGGGAAGACGAGAGAGAGAGAUGAAACCUUAUGGACAAAAGUUGAGAGUAAAAGUAAUUAGAGUAAUCCCUCUAUAAGCGGUUAUCACCAUCAAUAUACACAUUGUGAUUGUUUGAUUGCAACUCAUGUUAAGCUAUUCCUUCAUUACCCGUUUCCCGUAUUUCAUGGUUAUCGCCAUUCAAACAAGGCUCAUGGUUACGUACCGAUGCUCCUCCGCCCAUCAUCAUCCAGUCUCACUCACCAUCUUUCUCCCUGUUAUGUACACAGUCACUUUAGAUCCACCUUCUCCUCCUCCAUUAUUAAAAUAGGUUUACCUUAAGUUGACACAUAUUAUCGUGUUUCGUGAUUUUGUUAUUGUUGCUGGAUGACAAUAGCAUUACGGAUGUACACAAUUACUGUAUUGCUGCCCAUUUUUUUCAUUAACCUUAAUCAACUUCAUAUUACAUUGAAAAUGGUGCUUAUAAACUUGUUUGGCUAUUUAUGCUUUUAACUUUCACUCAACAUCACUUCAAUCCAUCUUAAAUGAUUUACCUAAACAACAAUGAACCCAGCAACAACAGCAUCUAACUAACGGUCAACACUUGAAAGCACUUUUUCUGGCAAGCAAACAAUUGAAAGACUUGGCAUUCUUUGCUUUUAUGGUAUUGUCCAGCUUACAUUCAAAUCAUAAUGAUUCUGAUCUCACGAAUAAACCUUGUAAAUCUUGGAUAACAGUUUACCGUCAAAAAACAAUAUAAAAUGAACAGUAAUCACUAACAUAAUCAUCGUAAACCAUGAUCAUCAUAAAAGGAUAAAAUAAAAACAAGUAAAAUAAGCAAAAUGGAAACCCAAUAACUGAUUGUAAAGUCAUUCCACAUUGGAUCGCUCUUUGAUUACAAGACAUGGCGAUGAUCAUGUUUUUCAUGAACACCGGUUAUACCAAUAAUUUCUCAAGAUUAUCUUUCACAUUUCAACCCAACACUGAAAUUAUAUUCAAUUUACAACCAACGAUGACACAAAUGGAGUCAACUUGAUCUCGCCAUUUUUUUUGUAUUAAAAUAUAAAUACAAUUUCAUUUCAAACCAUAGAAACAUUAUCAUAUGUAAAGUAAUUAGGAAAUUGCGACGAUUCUGUCGGUAAAGUGAUUUACAAGCAAAUAUGGAGCCAAUCAUCAUUCAAGAUGGUGAUAAAGGAAAUAUAUCAACUUGAAAGGUUACUCACCUUCAUUAUUGGAAUCAUCUUCAAUGAAAUAACAACAAGGUUGAACAAUUUCCAGAUCAGUGUAUCUGCAAAUAAAAGUGAAAGGUUUAAUUGUUAAAAAUAAUUGUAAUUAUUGUUGAAAUGGUAAUGAAACAAUCAAUGUAUAAAUCAUGAGCAUAAAUCAUUGAGUAAACUGAGAGUCAGUCAAGUAAACAUAAAUUAUAUGCAUAUUAAUGUAUGUCAACCUUGAUUAUGUUAUCAAAUUGUUGCCAUUAAAUGUGAUUCCUUGUGAUUA